AGCCUAGACAAAGGCUGUCUGGUGGUAAAUGGGGAGGGAGGCAAGGUUAAACAUACUUGAAGUAGCGUAAUAAUGUUUUCAUACAUUAAAGUUCGGAGAGAAUCAAGUCUAAUACGAAAAUGGACAUUAUAUUUCCAAAAGAAUAUCCUUUACUGUUAUAAAACAGUGCUUCUGUUGUUUUUAAGGAGAACAAAUGACACAAAAAUAACAUAUAAAAGAAUUUGAAGAAGCCCAGAUAUUGCAAAUAUUUUCAAAGAGACACGCAUUUCCAUCUCCGACGAAUAAUGUUCCAGUCUGAUGCCUUAAACUUAAAAUAUAUUUUAUGUAAACCAUUAGUGGACUAGUGGACCUGUAUUUAUUUCAUAAAGAUAAAUCGUUUUGCUUGAUUGCAUUACAGCAGGUCACACCAAAAUUACCUUUUGAAGUUCUUUUUAAUUUUCAAUUUAGACUACAUUCUCGCAUCAUCUCCCUUUAAAACAAUGGACAAAACAUCGAAAUUGAGAACUAGACAGUUCGUGCAAACACUUCCGUCUGUCACUGUCAGUGUCUGAAUGCUGUUUUUUGUCUGAAUCCCACAGAAGGCCUUGUUUAUGACUUGAAGAUUCCAUGGAACGCAACAGUGCUGUUGGUCCUCGCCUGAACCAGACGGAGAGUGAGAGCCGGCUAGUCAGUUCAAUCUACUAUGGGAAAAUCAGUAAGCGGGAGACGGAGAGGCUGCUUGAGCGGCAUGGCACUGAGGGGAGCUUUCUCCUCCGGGACAGCGAGAGUUUGCAGGGAGUUUACUGCCUCUGCGUUAGAAAUACACCGUUCGUCCAUACUUACAGAAUCCAGCAGUCCUCUGAAGGAUGGAAACUCCAGAUUGCCCCUGGAGAGAUGCUGCCGUGUUUUGGGACUCUGGAGAGGUUGAUAGAGAGGUGUAGAAGUGGAGUUGCUGGAAGCAUACCACCGCUCACACACCCCCUAGACAAAACACAGUUGAGAGACGGCGCACUGCCAACUGAGAUGGCCUAUAUGGAAAUGUGACCAACAUAUCCUUACACUGGGAUCAAUUCUCUAUGACUUUUGACUGACAUAGUGUGUGUGUGUGUGUGUGUGUGUAUGUAUGAAUUUAACUGACAUUGUUUAACGAAGUGCACCAAUUUUUUUCUGUCUGCGGUUCUACUGCAAAAAAUGCGGUUGCACUUAGAGGGAUGCUUUGAAGUGUAUUUUUGUGUGUGUGUGUGCGUGAGUGUGUGUGUGCGUGAGUGUGUGUGUGCGUGAGUGUGUGUGUGCAAGCAUUUGCUGGGAUGUAUGUCUGCAUCUAUAUUAUAAGUGCACUUAAGGACAUGAACACUGACAUUGGCAAUUGUCUUUCACUCUGUGUAUCUACUCUACAUUACAUACUAUGUGUUCAUAUGUUAAACACAGUUUAUUUGUGGAAAAUAUGCUCAAUUAAUUGACUGUCGUUGCAAUAAAA